GCGUGACGUCACGCGCGGGCUUUAAGGCGGCCGCCCGGGAGCGCCCCGCAGUGCCGGCGCGCUGCAGGCCGAGCUGGAGGCUGUGCUGGCGGCUCGGUUGUCCGGCCCGGAGCGGCGUGGGAUCACCCAGCCUCUACCGUGAGCCCCAAGACCUGCACUUCAGCCGGAGCUCACCAUGGGGAACCACUUGACCGAGAUGGCGCCCACUGCCUCCUCCUUCUUGCCCCACUUCCAGGCCCAUGUGCCGGCCUACAGCGCUGUGGACGGCUCGGCCUGCAGCCCGGCCUUGAGUGCCUGUAUGAAAUGAUCCUCAAGAGGAAGAAGACUGAAGGUCUUUUGCUUCACCCUGUUUAUGAGCCCAAGCAGUACUUCCAGGUGUGAAAUGUGUUGCUUCCAGAACCCAAAGAGUUUCA